rnacentral:rRNA from 1 species
GACGAACGCUGGCGGCGUGCCUAAUACAUGCAAGUCGAACGCUUCUUUCCUCCCGAGUGCUUGCACUCAAUUGGAAAGAGGAGUGGCGGACGGGUGAGUAACACGUGGGUAACCUACCCAUCAGAGGGGGAUAACACUUGGAAACAGGUGCUAAUACCGCAUAACAGUUUAUGCCGCAUGGCAUAAGAGUGAAAGGCGCUUUCGGGUGUCGCUGAUGGAUGGACCCGCGGUGCAUUAGCUAGUUGGUGAGGUAACGGCUCACCAAGGCCACGAUGCAUAGCCGACCUGAGAGGGUGAUCGGCCACACUGGGACUGAGACACGGCCCAGACUCCUACGGGAGGCAGCAGUAGGGAAUCUUUGGCAAUGGACGAAAGUCUGACCGAGCAACGCCGCGUGAGUGAAGAAGGUUUUCGGAUCGUAAAACUCUGUUGUUAGAGAAGAACAAGGACGUUAGUAACUGAACGUCCCCUGACGGUAUCUAACCAGAAAGCCACGGCUAACUACGUG